GUUCAGUCACGUGACUUUUUGCCGUGUUCGGAAAUUCAGCUUAAAACAAGCUCGCACACGGCAACGCGUAUUUUGUUAUUGCGCGUGAUGGCACUUAUUUUAAAUCGUCGAAUUCGGCACCUAUUUCGCUUAAGACAGAUGGUGUAUGGGCAGAUAGUGAUUGUUAAGUACCUUAAAUUUGUUUUUUUGAAUGAGACUUGUUUAAACGACCAACAGUGUAUUCAGAUUUCGACGAGGGAAAUGUAAACUUGGCGCAAACAGAGGAAAGUGCAUGACGUAUCAGUCUUGGAAUGAUGGCUAUUAAUCAUGGCUAUGUGCUAGAUAUUCCAGUUAACAUUAGACACAGCUACUAAACUAAAGCACCAAAGCUAGCUAGCUACCUAGCUAUAUAUAUAUUAGCCGAAGUAGUGGACCAGAAGAUGGAGUGUGUGAUGUUGUGUUUAAUUAUUCCAUACCACUGUGUGGUUAAUAGAUAAAGGUAUAU